CUCUUCAGUUAGUGGUUGAUUAAAGUCACCAGUGCUGUAUCUUCAGCACUGGUGGAAUCCAGGGGUCUUACCGCUAUACAGCAAAGUGGCUCAACAGAGUCAAUUUUGCCUGAUUCUCAGCAACAGAUGUGGUCGUCCAAGAUAGAUCCAGGAACCUGACCCAAGUAUAUUGAUGCUGCAGCAUUUCAAUCCUAUCUAAGAAGACUGCUGUGAGAUCCAGAAAGAGAACAGUAAUACAGCUAUCACACUACCAUGGCUGAAUCACCUGAAUGAACUCUCCAUAUCGAGAUGCUUGUAAUUGUGACUGUGAAGCUAACCUGGAGAACUCACCAUCAUGCCAGUUCCAACUGGAAAAGGAGUGCAAGCAAGGAAUUUACAUUUUGGCAAAGAAACAGAUGGAGGUUCCCAUCCUUCCAGACUUCCUGUCUCCUGGACCCCAGAUGGAGAUGAUUUUUGAAGAAAAGGAGAGCUAUAAGAAAGGGGGAUAGAUACCUCAAGAUAUCUCUCCCUUCAUCACUAUUCAUGGCCUU